UCGAGAAUCAUUCGCAAUGGGCGAAAGCCUGACGGUGCGACGCCGCGUGGAGGAUGAAGGUCCUAGGAUUGUAAACUCCUGUCAUCAGGGAGUAAAGCUCAAGCGUUAAUAGCGCUUUGAGCCUGAUAGUACCUGAAGAGGAAGGGGCGGCUAACUCCGUGCCAGCAGCCGCGGUAACACGGAGGCCUCAAGCGUUGUUCGGAAUUACUGGGCGUAAAGGGUGCGUAGGCGGCGAGGUAAGUCAGAUGUGAAAGCCCGGGGCUCAACCCCGGAAUUGCAUCCGAUACUGCCUUGCUUGAGGAUUGGAGAGGAGACUGGAAUUCACGGUGUAGCAGUGAAAUGCGUGGAUAUCGUGAGGAAGGCCAAUGGCGAAGGCAGGUCUCUGGACAAUUCCUGACGCUGAUGCACGAAGGCCAGGGGAGCAAAAA
rnacentral:rRNA from 1 species